rnacentral:lncRNA from 1 species
UUCAACAAUUGUGAAAACUGUAAUGCUGAUGAACAUGAUGCUGAUAAUAAUAGCUAUCACAUAUUCAGUGCUUUGUGCCAGGCACUUUACUAGUACUUUAUUAGCUUCUGUGUGCCUUCAUUUCCUCAUUUGUAAAAUGGGAACAGUAGUAGUACCACAUACGGUGACUGAGGAUUAAAGGAGUUAGGCCAUCCCAAGAGGGCAUCACUCGCACGCCUGGCACAUCAGCUAAAAGUUGGAACAGCCGCGGGCUGGGGCAGAUCUAUAGAAAGGGCAGGGCUCCAAGAGUAGAAGCAGAAUCUGCCAGGUCUCUUAAAGCCUAGGCCUCCAUUUAGUACAGCAUCAUCUUCAUUGUAUUUUUUUUUUUUUUGAGAAAGAGUCUCACUCUGUCACCCAGGCUGGAGUGCAGUGGUAUGAUCUUGGUUCACUGCAACCUCCACCUCCUGGAUUCAAGUGAUUCUCCUGCCUCAGCCUCCCAAGUAGU